rnacentral:snRNA from 1 species
AUCCGCUAAGGAGUGUGUAA